UAGGAAACACAGGACCAAUGAUGUCUUCUGACUAUAACUGUUUCCUGAUGGUUGAGCAACAGUCUCCUUCUGCUUUAAAGUACUCCCUUUAACUGGCUGAUUACUAGGGAUCCAACCCAGGGUCCAAGCAUGCUAAGCAAAUGUGCUACCACUAAGCUUGCCUCCAGCCCUUGACUGCUGUUCUUACUGAGGAAUGGUGUAUUAACAGGAAAGCAGGACCAGAAAUGCCGCAGAAGUUCUCCAACAGCCACAUACAAAUGUUUCAAUUCAGACUGAAUAUCAUUUGGCACCAUCUCUGCAAGAGAAGGAAGAGGUUCAUGGGAUAUAAAAGUUAUUUUCACACAUGUACAGUCUCUGACAAAAUGACCACUCAAGGCACUAGGGGUGUAGCCCAGUGGCAGAGCACAUGCUUAGCAUGCAUGAGGCACUAGGUUUACUUCCCAGCACCACACACACCACUCAGCAAAGAUCCCAGAAGUACCCUGAUGAAAAAACAAUUCAACUGUAGCACUCCCCUGGGCUUGUUCUUUAGCACUUAUUUAACCAAAGGGAUAGCAGAAAGUGACCCAGCACAUACGGUUUAUGGCUUGCUGUGUUCCUCCCUGCAUAAGUGCUCCUCCAGGUGACAGUGCUGUGAUGGUACUACUAGCGGCACUACUUGAGAGAACCUGAAAGAAAGGAGACAUAGAAACUGGUUUUCUUUCUUUUUGCUGUAUCUUAACAUUUCCAUUUUAAGCCAGAAGGUCAAGUAAAGUGUUUAUUUCUGUAUAAAUAUAGCAGCUAGAGUGAACUAUUUCCCCUAAGGCCAGAAAUGGUCUCUGCAGAAAGAGAAAACCUGUCUUCCAGAAAUAAGAGUUGUUUCCCUUAUUAGUGGUUUUAUUUUCUUUGGUUUUAUUUACCUGCAGUCAACCAAGGCCUGAAAAUGUUAAAUGGGAAACUCCAGAAAUAAACAAUGUUUUAAGUUUUAUCUUGUGCCCAGUUUUGAGCAGCAUAAUAAAAUCUUGCUCUGUCCUGCCUAAAACAUGAAUCUUCCAUUUGUACAGUGCAUCUUUGCUAUAUAUACUAUCUGCCUGUUAUCAAUUAGUAGCCAUCCAGGUUACCAGAUCUACUUAUGUGGAACUGCAGGGCUUGUGUAACCCUUAUUUUAUUGAAUAGUUGCUCCACAUGCAAAAGUAGUAAUGUUUGUAAUUUGGACAUGUCAAAAGAGAAGUCAGGAAGUGCUUUCUUUAGAUGAAAAGGUGAAAGUUCUGGAUUUAAGGAAAGAAAAAAUAUGUUGUGCUUACU